rnacentral:misc_RNA from 1 species
GAAAUGCGAUAAGUAAUGUGAAUUGCAGAAUUCAGUGAAUCAUCGAAUCUUUGAACGCACCUUGCGCUCCUUGGUAUUCCUUGGAGCAUGCCUGUUUGAGUAUCAUGAAAUCUUCAAAGUAAAUCUUUUGUUAACUCAAUUGGUUUCUACUUUGGUAUUGGAGGUCUUUGCAGCUUCACACCUGCUCCUCUUUGUUCAUUAGCUGGAUCUCAGUGUUAUGCUUGGUUCCACUCGGCGUGAUAAGUUAUCUAUCGCUGAGGACACUGUAAAAGGUGGCCAAGGUAAAUGCAGAUGAACCGCUUCUAAUAGUCCAUUGACUUGGACAAUACUUUUAUGAUCUGAUCUCAAAUCAGGUAGUACUAACCGCUUAACUUAAGC